UAUAUCCUCAACCUUCUUGGAUUCAGAAAAUGUUUGAAUGUGAAUGGGAGAGGAGAGUAGAAAUGGAAAGGAACAAGAAGAUUCCAGAGGAGUGACGUAACGAAACAUUCUCAGUCCACAAAUGACUGCAAAGCAGAUAACCAGAGUCCUGAUGAUUAACUGCUGUCAGUGGAACUGCCUGUUUUUCCUCAAGUGGAUCUUUCCUUCUAUGCAAAAGCAGUUGAAGUGGGUGUCUGUACGCUACGUCCUAGCC